CCUACGGGCGGCUGCAGUGGGGAAUAUUGCGCAAUGGGCGAAAGCCUGACGCAGCGACGCCGCGUGAGGGAUGAAGGUCUUCCGAUCGUAAACCUCUUUCAGCAGGGAAGAACGGUCACUGUGCUAAUCAUCAGUGAAUUGACGUUACCUGCAAAGGAAGCACCGGCUAACUCCGUGCCAGCAGCCGCGGUAAUACGGAGGGUGCGUGCGUUAAUCGGAAUUACUGGGAGUAAAGCGCUCGUAGGCGGUAUGUCAAGUCAAGGGUGAAAUCCCGGGGCUCAACGGGGGAACUGCCUUUGAAACUGGCAGACUGGAGUGUGGGAGAGGAUAGUGGAAUUCGAGGUGUAGGGGUGAAAUGCGUAGAUAUCGGGAAGAACAUCAGUGGCGAAGGCGACUAGCUGGAACAUAACUGACGCUGAGGAGCGAAAGCGUGGGUAGCAAACAGGAUUAGAUACCCGAGUAGUC
rnacentral:rRNA from 1 species